GCCAUUCGAAGGCUCCUUACCCGGUGGGAGCACAGAAAUUGGAAUUCGGUUAGUCCAUCGGGAUGGGCAGACUUUGAUUUUUGGUGGAAGACAAAUUGGGAGGCAAGCACGAGCAGGGGAGGUGCCACCAAGACAAACUGGACUGCCAGUUCCAGGCUCGAGAUAUAUGCAUCCAGGCUCAAGCGUACAGCAAUUGGAGCAUUCGUCCAGAGUGACAACAGCAUCACUACAAACCUGGAGACGAUGGCCGCUGGCUGCAAAAUCAUCUUGACAAGGCAUUCAAGAAGUCAGUCCUGAAAGAAAGAAUCAAAACUUGGAGAUCAACCUGCAGAUAUCAGAAGUAGCUGAAAGCUUAGGAUAGUGAGGAACAAGAAUGAAGCUGCCAUGUUGUUGUGGUGCUGAACCUCGGGCUGUUUGAAUUUAUAGUCACACAGUGGCAUGCGAUCGAUCUCUACAAAAAUCUCACGUUUUUUCCGGACUUGAAAGUUGCGUAUGGAUUGUACUGAUCGGGGGCCACCUAGCCUGGCUCUCUGUGGUGAAACAAAUCAUAUACUUCCAGAGAGGUGUCCCAUCAGUAGUUUGAUCGGUGAGGUCCGAUGUGGGGCGACGUGGCCGGAAAUACAAAGGAUUGCAUGCCACGUCAUAAUAGACGAGGUUAGCGAAGCGGCCAUGGCGGGGCUGCUCGGCCAUGGCGCUUCUUUCAACGUGGCCAGGCUGGGAGCACUAGGGUAGCAGCUCACAGCGCUGUCACAGCAAUGUGCUAUCCGAUCGAUCGAUCUGGGUCUCGGGUUUAGUUUCUAGAGGUUUCCGGCUUCUCCACAGCUAGUGGUUUCGUCCUCCGGCCUAUGGCACCGCUAGAAAAUCCUCCAAACCUUGAAGAACAGAUCGAGAUUUAGGAGCAGCGAGAGAUUGCACGAAAGAUCUUGCGUUGGGAGCUCGACCGCAAUUCUGCCUAGCUGCUCUAUCGAAGAUUUGCAAGUCGAGCGUUCAAACAGAGUGCUCAAGAGAUUGAGCUCCGUCCAUAAAUUCAAUCCUUUCUGGGCUCCGACCAAUGUGAUGCCGCGAUUCAAAUUUCUGGCGCUUGGUGCCUCAACAUGGGUAAUACCAUACGUAUUGAAAUAUCACAUAUUGAAUGAUUUUGGAACAGCUUAUGCACAACAAGGGAACUCUUUUGAUUAUAUAUACACAUUUGUGGGCUCAGCUGGAGGCAUUUACAAUAUACAAAUUGAUUUCCUUGUCCUGAUUUUAAUCUUGGAGUCCCUCUCUUUUGCCAAUGUGAAAAUUACUUUUGCCUGUUGAACUUUACUAGACCAAAGACAAGAAAUCCAUUUGCAUCCAUUGCAUUGUGGUUUAAUGCAUCUAGUUGUUGGGUGCUACAUGUAUACUUAUUCUUUCAAAGCCUAGAAAAAAAAAAAUCAUUUGCUGCAUGUGAUUAAUCCUUUAUCUUUUUUCUAGAAUAAACCCUAAACCCUAAAUAGACAGAACCAUGUGAAAAAAGGGUGGCUUCAAUUUUGAUUUUAAUGAUGAGAAUUGCAUGCAGUAACAACUGGAUCAAUCAAGUGGAUGAGAUCAAAAUCUUCAAAUUCUAUAAUAAGCCAAAACAUGAAACUCAUGAGGUAUUGUCUUUUAGUAUUUAUUUCCAAAGGCAAUUACUGAAAGGCAAAAAAUUAAUGCCCUUUUGGCCCUUUUUGAGCCAUUUUACAUGGGUGUUUUUUAAAAAUGACCUUUAAAUGUUGGGCAAAAGUGCAUAUAGCUUUUUUUGUUCAAGGGCAAUAAAAUAAAAUAUUCUUUCAUUUUCUCUUUCUUAAUGGACAAUGAAUAUUUUGAAUUAAAUGAACAAGGAGUUGACAGUGUUUCUCUCAAUGACAUUUUCUCUCAAUUAAUUAAAAUUUGGUUUGCAUGUCAUAAUUGUCUUGUUUAGAGCAUAGUUUUACAGAAGAAAAUGGAAGGGCAACAACACUCAUCAUCUAGUUCUUAUACUAUACAUUCAAUCUUUUUUAUUUCCAUGCAUUUAAUUUAUAGAUCUUAGGAAAAAAGUACAUUCUUUCUUCCCUUUCUAGGUCCCCAUUGCCACAGCUCGCCGUGAUUGUCCAUAUCUGCGGUAGAAUCCAGUGCGGGAUUGAUUGCUCAGGCUCUUUAGCCCGGGAUUUCUUGGACUGGAUGGCUUCACCUCUCUUGCAAUACCAUUGAUGCAUGAGUGCGUGGAAGCAAAUGUUCCAGCGGUGCUGUCUGCAUGAUCGUCGUAUUGGAGGGCUUCGUUCUCAUCCACAGCUGAGAAUCUGGGGAGGGAGGGCAGAUCGAGCUCCCACAGCUCCAGCAAAUUGGUAAGAUAUCUUCUAACUUAUCAAUCGACUUGCAAAACUCAUGAAGCUCCUCUUGCAGGAAGGAACAAGCCGAGCUUCCACUAUCUCGCCGCCGAAUCCACAGCCCUCCAAUACGUUCUUCUUUUAAACUGGGAACUGACAAGUUUCUAUCCAGUUCUUAGUUCCAGACGCUAGACUUCGAUGCAAUGAAAGAGAGAAGAGAGAAUCUGGACAGUCUUAAGCCCAAGAUCGUUGACAUGGUUGUCAAGAAGAUGAAGCAUAACACAUAUCUCUCGCUCGAUUUCUUUACGCUGGCCAUGAGAAUCUCCAGCUUCCGGCACGACGUGGUGAUGGUCAUGAUCCUUGGAGUCGAUGGCAACUAUCUUGGUGAUCAGAGACAUGCCCCGUGGAAACGAUCUCUAUGUGAAGACGAGGAAGCUGUGGCCGCCACAUCGUCCGAGACAGCAGAAAGACCCCCAAGUAGGCUUGGAUAGAUUCAGCAUGGUAGCAGUCCAACACCAGCUCGGGAGGAAGACUUAAACAGCCUACAAGAAGGAAAGCAACUCCGUGGAUCUGAUCAUGAGUCACAAGCAGUACAGGCAGGAGCUCCACCUUCACAGCAGGAAGGAGUGGAACGUCCAUGCAGUCAGGGACAAGUUUCUGGUCUACGAGACACUUCCUCACGUGAGCGACACCAGUGAUGAUCCUUUGGUGCUUUGCAGUCAUGACAAGAUCGUCAUUGUUCGGCCCUUGUCAGUAACAGUGGACAACCGGGCAAAGAAUGUCUCGUGGAACUCAUUGGGCUUGCGGGAAUGCAAAGAAGAAACGGAGAACUAUACGGUGCCGAGCAGUAAGGAGAGUCAGUCGGGUUUAGUUCCAGGCAAAGGAUGAAGGAAGGAGGAGGGAUUUGCAUGGCUUGCUUAGAUUCUUACAAGCAGAGCCGUUUGACAAUCAUACUUGGUGGCAGCAAAGCUAUAAAACAUCCUUGCGAGGUACUAUGUGUUUUUUCCUUUUUAUUGUAAGUAACACUCGUUGCUCUCCAGGAAGGAAAAAUGGGAGCAGUUGACUUUGCUCAUUCCUUUUUCCGUGAGAUUAUGUGGCGGUCUAUGAAGAUCGAUGUCAUAGACCAGCUAGAUAUUCCUCCUCAAGAAGAGCGAAUUACAUGGCUCAAGUUUUCGGGUGUUGAGAACCACUUUUAUAGGCAACAACACGAGCAAUGCGUGAAGAGAGCCAGAGAAGCUAUUGAGAAGUACUCAUUAGGUGCUGGUCGACCUCUAAAUCAUAUGAAUACCUCAAAGUUAAUGAACCCCUUGUUGAAGCUGCGACAAGCUUGUUGCCAUCCUCAAGUGGGGAGUUCGGGAGUACGCUCGUUGCAGGCAUCACCACGCUCAUUGCAGGCCGAUGGAUGAAGUCUUGGAGGUAAGGAACCUUGGUAUUAGAGUCUUCAGGUCCUAAUUGAAAAAGCUAAAACUGAAGGAGAAGAAGCUCAACGAGAUCUUGUUGAUUCGUUGAACGGACUGGCAGGUCUGGCGAUUAUCGAGGAAAACAUCCCCAUGGCUGUCUCCAUUGACCGAGAAGCACUAGCAGCCGCGGAGGAAAAUGCGACUAAUUUUGAAGUUGAUCCGCUUCAGAAAGUCCAUAUUUUACACAAUUUGGAAGAGUCACUCAGAAACUGCAAGGAUGACGCAUUGAGCAAAAUUCCAAGAACUCUGAGGGAUGAUAUGCUGAUCAGUCAAUGCGACGAAUUACGAAGGAAGUACGUCAGUGGCCAGUAUGCAAAUCUUGCUGCGGCUCAGCACGCUGCACACAAAGAAGUAUUAUUGAUUUCUUUUCAAAAAAGCCCUUCUUUAUCCUGCAGAUCAGUCUGAUGAUAAAUCUUCAAGAUGGAGCCACUGGUGGCUAGAUGCUUUUGCAUGGGUUCAAACAUCGAGCAAACGAAGUGACCACCUAUUGGAACGAAUAAAGCACGGGCUGGAAGAUGUAAAUCGUGCUGGUGGUCGGAAUGACAAUAGCACAACAAUUAGUUCUAACUGAAUUGGACGAGCUGAGCAUGUCGACAACAAGGCUAUGUUUGCAAGGUGCCAAGGCUGCAGACGGCAAUCCUUUUGGUGAUGAAGGCUACGAGAUAGCAAUUAGAAACGCGGAGCUUACCAACGAAAAAUUUGUUGCUGUUGAGAAUCUAUCUCGUGUGAAGAGGCAGCUCAGAUACUUGAAGGUAUUAGGCUUAAGUUUUCUUCUAUUCGCAGCUCCUCUCAUUUCCGGAUUGCAGGGUCUAAGGAAUAAGAAGGACGAGGGGCAUAACAGUUUGGAAGGAGAAAUUUGCCCAGUUUGCCACGAUGGCAUAGAAUCUGGAGCGAUGGUCCUUCCAUGCGGCCAUUUGCUUUGUGGCAAGUGUAAGUUUUUGGUGUCUUACUUUGUUGGUUUCCUGAGCAAAUCUUCAUUUUAUUUCGCAGGUUUGAAUCUUAUUGUGGACCGCCAGAAAGCACCAGCUAACGGUGCUGAUUUCAAGCGCAUUGCAUGUCCAACGUGCAGCAGACUUAUGUCUCUAAUAUUGCUUAUGCCAAUGCUGAAGCGGCUUCUUCGAAAAUUGCGGAAAUCCUCCAGGAAGAAGAAGAGGACGAAGAAAAAUCUAUAACCGUGGCAGGGUCGUACGGAACAAAGGUAAUCUCGCUUUGUCGUCUGCUUUUUAUUUUAAUUCUAUUGCAACUUUGAAGAUUGAAGCUGUCGUCAGGAGAAUUCUUAGUCUGAAAGAAGACGAUCCGUUUGUGAAAAUUCUUGUGUUCUCGACGUGGAAAGAAGUGCUGGACUUGUUAGAACACGCACUGAAGAGCAACAAGCUCAGCUGGGUUCGACUAAAGCCUCUCAGGUAAUAUCGAUAAUCUGUUUUACUUUUACUCAUGUGCUCGUUUUGUGUUUUUCAGACAAAUGGGUUCUUCCAUCUUGGAAUUUAAGGAGAACAUCCAAGUCAUGUUACUACCCAUACAACAUGGUGCCAAUGGCCUGAACUUAAUAGAGAACACGUUAUUUUGGUGGAGCCUUUGCUCACCCCGGCAGUAGAAGCUCAGGCUAUCAAUCUAGUCCACCGGAUUGGCCAACGUCUUAAGACACUUGUACAUAGAUUCAUUGUAAGUUACGUACGUUUCUUCUGUUUUCCAAUUACUGACGACAUUUCCAGAUACGUAACACUGUGGAGGAGAACAUCUACAAAAUGAACCAGCAGAAGACGAACCUCCUUCCAAUGAAACAAAAAGAGCAGCCUCUAUCAGCGAAUGACAUGAACAGUUUACAAUGAAUCGCUUGGGACGAACCGAAAGAGAACACAGCUACUUCAAAUACAGUGGUUCUACUCCUGAUACUUUCCGAGAUUUAACUCCGGCUCAAGCUGCUGCUGCUGCUGCUGAAUCGCGGCUCUUGCGACUACAGGCCAACGCUUGUCUAUAGAUUCUUUGUAAGUACUUUCUGUUGCAUGUCCGGAUUCUGAACCUUCGUAUUUUCUGGCAGAGAAGGAACAUUCUUUAGUCAAACGAUGAGCUUUCGGUAAGUUUUUCUGUUGGCGAGGGGUUUAGCUAGCUAGCAACAGAGAUGGGUGCCAAGUUUCAGCCCCUUCCUCGCUUCUACUGGACGAAGGCUGCGAUCAGAGACCUGUGCCGGGACGACGAUCUCUACGUGAAGACGUAGUAUGGUAGGAAGUUGAGGCCGCCGCCUCGUCCGCGACUAAGUCGAGAGCAGGAACGCUUUGUUCACACAGACCCUCAAGCAGGCUUGGAUAGAAUCAGUGGGCAGUGGGUAGCACUCCAACACCAGCUCGGGAAGAAGCAGGAAGGCACCUACAUGGGUCCGAUUCUGGGUCACAAGCAAUACAGGUGCGAGCUCCAUCUUCACAGGGGACAGAAGCAAUGGAAUGUCCAUGCAGUCGGGGACAAGUUUCUGGUCUACGAGACACUUCCUCCUGCGACCGACACCGGUGAUGAUCCUCCGGUGCUUUGUGGUCGCGACAAGUUCGUCAUUGGUCGGCCUCUGUCACUAGACAACCGGGCGACGAAUGUUUCCUCGUCGUGGAACUCGUUUCCAGUGUGGAGCUUGCCAAAAGAAGGCAAGGAGGGAACGAUCGCUCUGCCGGGGAACUAUAUGGUGCCGAGCAGUAAGGUGGCGCUGCCGGGUUUAGUUCCAGGCAGGGGAGCGCUAGUCUUCGAUGCCUUGUACGAGACUGUGAAGGAAGGAGGAGUGAGCUGGAGCUCCGAGAUGGUUGAGAAGCUGGACAGGCUCAAGCAUGGGAUAAUGCACCCCCACCAGGUCUGCGUGGUUCUCAAGAAGAUCAAGCACGACGCAUCUCUCUCGCUCAAGCUCUUUACGUGGGCCAAGACGAUCCCAGGCUUCAAGCACGACUUGGUAAACUACUCGACGAUGAUCAUGAUCUUGGGAGAUGACGGGAACUAUCUCAUGGCCGAGGCACUUUUUGUUGAGAUCCAGGAGCUCGGGCUUCGCCUUGACACGUUUGCAGUGAACAACAUGAUCCGCUGCUACACAAGAGUGAACCGGAUCCAGGAAGCUCUCGACCUCUACAGUAAGAUGCCAUACUUUGGCUGUCACCCGGACAAUUGCACCUUCGGCCUCCUCAUCGACUGGUGCGGCAAGUUCGGCUCCCGGAAGGAGCUCCAACGGAUCUUCCUCGACUUGAGAGCCUCCCCCCGCAAUGCCGACGCGCAGACGUUCAACACAAUGAUCCACAACUUCUGCAAGCAGCGGGACUUCGCAAACGCCAGGGAAGCCGCCAACCAGAUGAAAGCCUGGGGGAUUCCAUUCUCCUCUGCAACGUACGCCAUCCUCAUCCACAUGUACGCCAAGGCUCGAGACUCGAAAGCAGCGGCAGAGCUCUACGCGGACUACCUCCGCUCCGGCCUAGAGCCAAACUUGAUCGUCUACAACAACGUGAUACUGAGUUACGGUUCCAGCGGCUUCCCUGGCCAUGCGCAGAACAUCCUGGGUGAUAUACGAAAGGCCGGCCUCGCUCCAGAUCGAUUCACGUACUGCACGCUCAUAAGUUCGUGGGCGAGAGCCGGAGCUAUGCUGCAAGCCCGGCGAUGGUUCAACAAAGCCUGCAAGACGAAGGCCGGUCCAAGCAUCGAGAUGUGCAACGCGCUCAUCGAUGGCUACCUCAAGGCCCGAGAAGUGGAACCGGCUAAGUUCAUCCUCACCAAAGUCAUGCCGGAGAGAGGCGUGGAGCCGACGCUGCAAACGUACACGAUCCUCCUGGGCCACUACACGAGCAGCGUCAAGGUGGCGGACUCGAGAGCAGUGAGAGAGAUGAUGAAGUCGUCCUCGAAACCACCACCACUACCAGCAGCAGCAGCAGCAGCAGCAGGAGGAGGAGGAGGAGGAGAUGAUCAUCCUGGCGUGGACGAGUUCCUGAACGAGAUCCUGCAAGGCCUCCGCGCGAUCAAGGAGCUCAAGAGCUACUCGAGGGAGUUUUUCCGCAAGCUGAGGAUGGACAAGCCUCCUCGCUGGGGGCGAUGGCUGGCGGACGCUCUCGUCAACCAUCUCCACUGCUUUGGCUACGCUCGCGAGGCCUUCUACGUGUGGGAGGGGGUCUCCUCCACAGAGCUCUACCCGAGAGGGAUCUGGGAGGACUGGCAGGGAGCGUGGUUUAUCUGGCUCCAGGAUAUGAGCUCCGGGACUGCGAUGGUGGCGCUCACCAGUGUGUCCAGGCGGAAGCUCGCGCGGGGAUUCGAGAGGCCGGAGCGAGUGAUCAUCGUGUGUGGCUACGCGUCGGACAAGAGCAAGGAGGUGACCCAUGCGGUGAACAGGACGCUGGUGGCUCUAGACUCGCCGUUUGAGCCUUUCAUCUCUAUGGGGAGAUUUAUGUGCGAGGGGAACUUGUUUAGAGACUGGCUGUGGGAGAAGCAAGUUGCUAUAGAGCUCACCAUGGAUGCUUAGAAUUAAUAUGUAAUUAGCGCAUUAAUGGGAGGGUAAAAAGGACAAAGAUUCGUUGGAUCUAUCCUUUUGCUUUGCUUUUUCUUAAGCUAGGAAUUUUCUUAGGCUGCAAAUUAGCACUUAUGGAUGUGAUAUGGCAAGAGCGAGCCUUAUGUUGUUUCAACUCAGGAAGCUGAUGAGCUGAACACCAAUGCAUUGUGAUGUAUGAUUGAGAUCUAUAACAUAGACUAUUGGGAAAGUAAACAUUAUGGUUUGUUUGGAACUUCUUUGAAAGUGCAAGACUACAAAGAGAUUGCAGACAACAAGUUGCGUUGUCAAACUUUAUAUAUAUAAUAUAUAUAUAUACAUUUCAAGUACCCGUUAUUUAAACAACGAUGCCCAGAGCUGUUUAUUUUAUAAAUACUGCAUCAUCUUCUAGGCAAGCUGGAGUAGAUCAUCCUCCUUGACGCACAGCUGGUGCCCCCGACGGUUGUAGAGCUUGCAACCUUCCCUGAGUGGCUUCUUGCAAGUGUGGCAAGAGUUGAAGUCGAGCGCAACACUUUUUGGACCUGGGCAGACAUAGGAAGCAAACCCACAUUCGAGCGUGCAGGCUUUACCAGGUCCUGAGACGCAUACUGAUUUGCCAUGCCCCAAGUCCAUGCAACCUUGAGGAAUGGUGCAACAAGUAGCGCAGCUGCCUGGCUUCCAAGGAUGGACAGUGCCUCCACAAAUCUCCACGGCAUCCUUCAAGCAGGAGUUGUCAUCACCAUUUGGCAGUGGUGCACCAGUCUUUAAAUUGUAGAGAUGACAGCCAUUCGAAGGCUCCUUAUCCGGUGGGAGCACAGAAAUUGGAAUUCGGUUAGUUCCUCGGGAUGGGCAGACUUUGAUUUUUGGUGGAUGACAAAUUAAGGGGCAAGGACGAAAAGGGGAGGUGCCACCAAGACAAACUGGACUGCCAGUUCCAGGCUCGAGAUAUAUGCAUCCAGCCUCAAGCGCACAGCAACUGGAGCAUCCGUCGAGAGUGACAACAGCAUCACUACAAACCUGGAGACGAUGGCUGCUGGCUGCAAAAUCAUCUUGACAAGGCAUUCAAGAAGUCAGUCCUGAAAGAAAGAAUCAAAACUUGGAGAUCAACCUGCAGAUAUCAGAAGUAGCUGAAAGCUUAGGAUAGUGAGGAACAAGAAUGAAGCUGCCAUGUUGUUGUGGUGCUGAACCUCGGGCUGUUUGGAUUUAUAGUCAGACAGAGUCUUAUCUAUGUGAUGACUUGGCAUCUGAUCGAUCUCUACAAAAUCUCACGUUUUUUCCGGACUUGAAAGUUGCGUAUGGAUUGUACUGAUCGGGGGCCACCUAGCCUGACUCUCUGUGGUGAAACAACUCAUAUACUUCCAGAGAAGUGUCCCAUCAGUAUUUUGAUUAGGGCGACGUGGCCGGAAUGAAUUUCCACGUUGGUUAGCGGCAUGCCACGUCAUAAUAGACGAAGCGGCCAUGGCAGGGCUGCUUGGCCAUGGCGCUUCUUUCAACGUGGCCAGGCUGGGAGCACUAGGGUAGCAGCUCACAGCGCUGCCACAGUAAUGUGCUAUCCGAUCGAUCGAUCUUGGUCUCGGGUUUAGCUUCUAGAGGUUUCCGGCUUCGCCACAGCUAGUGGUUUCUUCCUCCGGCCUAUGGCACCGCUAGAAAAUCCUCCAAACCGACUCAGCCCUUGAAGAACAGAUCGAGAUUUAGGAGGAACAAGAGAUUGCACGAAAGGUCUUGCGUUGGGAGCUCGACCGGUGCCUAGCUGCUCUAUGGAAGAUUUGCCGUUCAAACGGAGAGUGCUCAUGAGAUUGAGCUCCAUCUAUAAAUUCAAUCCUUUAUGAGAUAUGAGUGCCACGUCUGCAUUUGACAAGGUGAUGCCGCGAUUCAAAUUUCUGGCGCUUGGAUGCCCGGUGCCUCAGCAUGGGUAAUACCAUAUGUAUUGAAAUAUCACAUAUUGAAUGAUUUUGGAACAGCUUAUGCACAACAAGGGAACUCUUUUGAUUAUAUAUACACAUUUGUGGGCUCAGCUGGAGGCAUUUACAAUAUACAAAUUGAUUUCCUUGUCCUAAUUUUAAUCUUGGAUUCCCCUUCUUUUGCCAAUGUCAAAAUUACUUUUGCCUGUUGAACUUUACUAGACCAAAGACAAGAAAUCCAUUUGCAUCCAUUGCAUUGUGGUUUAAUGCAUUUAGUUGUUGGGUGUUACAUGUAUACUUAUUCUUUCAAAGCCUAGAAAAAAAAAAUCAUUUGCUAUAAUCAUACUCCUUUACCUUUUUCUAGAAUAUAAUCUAAACCUUAAACCCUAAACCCGUGGCAAAAUUGAAGGCAACAGGUCUUGUGUGACUUUAAGAAUUGCAUGCAGUAACAACUGGAUCAAUCAAGUGGUUGAGAUCAAAAUCUUCAAAUUCUAUAAUAAGCCAAAACAUGAGACUCAUGAGGUAUUGGCUUGUAGUAUUUAUUUCCAAAGGCAAUUACUGAAGCCUGGUGAUUCAAGGCAAAAAAUUGAUGCCCUUUUGGCCCUUUUUGAGCCAUUUUACAUGGGUGUUUUUAAAAAUGCCCUUUAAAUAUUAGGUAAAAAUUACCAAAAUUUCUUUUACGUGAAGGAUGCGCUUCUAUAUAGCCCUUUUGUUCAAGGGCAAUAAAAUAAAAUAUUCUUUCAGAAUAUUUUUCUCUUUCUUAAUGGACAAUGAAUAUUCCGAAUUAAAUGAGCAAGGAGUCUCGAUGACUCUCUCAAUUGAUUAGAAUUUGGAUCGCAUGCCAUAGUUGUCUUGUUUAAGUUUUACACAGAAGAAAUUGAAAGGGCAACAAGAGUCAUCAUUCAGUUCUCAUACUGUACAUUCAAUCUUUUCUAUUUCCAUGCAUUUACUUGUAGAUCUUAGGAAAAAAGUACAUCCUUUCUUCCCUUUCUAGGCCCCCAUUGCCACAGCUCGCCAUGAUUGUCCAGAUCUGCGGUAGAAUCCAGUGCGGGAUUGAUUGCUCAGGCUCUUUAGCCCGGGAUUUCUUCGACUGGAUGGCUUCACCUCUCGCAAUACCAUUGAUGCAUGAGUGCGUGGAAGCAAAUGUUCCAGCGGUGCUGUUGGCAUGAUCGUCGUAUUGGAGGGCUUGGUUCUCAUCCACCAGCUGAGAAUCUGGGCAGGCAGGGCAGAUCGAGCUCCCACAGCUCCAGAAAAUUGGUAAGAUAUCUUCUAACUUAUCAAUCGACGUGCAAAACUCAUGAAGCUCCUCUUGCAGGAAGGAACAAGCCGAGCUUCCACUAUCUCGCCGCCGAAUCGACAGCCAACUGCGACUAGUUCUAGCGGAGGAAAGCCUUGGUACGUUCUUCUUUUAAACUGGGAACUGACAAAGUUUCUAUCCAGUUCUUAGUUCCAGACGCUAGACUUCGAUGCAAUGAAAGAGAGAAGAGAGAAUCUGGACAGUCUUAAGCCCAAGAUCGUUGACAUGGUUGUCAAGAAGAUGAAGCAUAACACAUAUCUCUCGCUCGAUUUCUUUACGCUGGCCAUGAGAAUCUCCAGCUUCCGGCACGACGUGGUGAUGGUCAUGAUCCUUGGAGUCGAUGGCAACUAUCUUGGUGAUCACAGACAUGCCCCGUGGAAACGAUCUCUAUGUGAAGACGAGGAAGCUGUGGCCGCCACAUCGUCCGAGACAGCAGAAAGACCCCCAAGUAGGCUUGGAUAGAUUCAGCAUGGUAGCAGUCCAACACCAGCUCGGGAGGAAGACUUAAACAGCCUACAAGAAGGAAAGCAACUCCGUGGAUCUGAUCAUGAGUCUUUUAUAGGCAACAACACGAGCAAUGCGUGAAGGGGGCCAGAGAAGCUAUUGAGAAGUACUCAUUAGGUGCUGGUCGACCUCAAGUUCUUACUAAGCCAGGAGUUGGAUGCUCUCCAUGAGACUCGUGACCACGUACUGAGUCGCUUACUUGAAAUGGAUGGCGGGAUGCAGAAUCCGAAUCCCGAUUAUGUGCAGCGCGCUGGACAAUGUUCCCAGUGCCAGCCUAGACACACUGGGAUAACCUGUGCUCAUUGUGCUAUUGAUCUCAUGUUUCAGGUACAAUCUACUUCUUUCUUGUGUGGAUAAACAGAAAUAUGCAAAUAGGCGAUUUUACUUGACGUCCCGAGCAGCUGAAUUAGAUGGCAUUGUUACUGCAGAAGACGCCUUUGUUUCUCAAGUACGUUCACAGGCAGGAGAAAAGGAGCAGCAGUAGCUGCGGUAAGGCAACUUCUUUUUGUUUUUCUAACUUUUUUCUUUUGUUUUUCUUUCCUUCGAGCUUAAAUAUUUCUUUUCACAGGUUACGCACAGAUGUUCUGAAACGGAAAUGGUUUUAAAAAUUUUACUUGCAUACAUGAAAGCGGAAACGAACCUUGAGGAGGAUGAGAUAGAAGCCGCAAAGAAGCACCUCGAGUACCUUGAAGUAAACACUCCUGUGCUUAUUUGUAAGUCUGUUUGACAAACCGUGUCAAUUCAGGCAUUGCGUAGCGAAUAUGCAGCGGCGAGACGCUUGACAACAGCACAACAAUUAGUUCUAACUGCAUUGGACGAGCUGAGCAUGUCGACAACAAGGCUAUGUUUGCUUGCAAGGUGCCAAGGCUGCAGACGGCAAUCCUUUUGGUGAUGAAGGCUACGAGAUAGCAAUUAGAAACGCGGCGCUUACCAACGAAAAAUUUGUUGCUGUUGAGAAUCUAUCUCGUGUGAAGAGGCAGCUCAGAUACUUGAAGGUAUUAGGCUUAAGUUUUCUUCUAUUCGCAGCUCCUCUCAUUUCCGGAUUGCAGGGUCUAAGGAAUAAGAAGGACGAGGGGCAUAACAGUUUGGAAGGAGAAAUUUGCCCAGUUUGCCACGAUGGCAUAGAAUCUGGAGCAAUGGUCCUUCCGUGCGGCCAUUUGCUUUGUGGCAAGUGUAAGUUUUUGGUGUCUUACUUUGUUGGUUUCCUGAGCAAAUCUUCAUUUUACUUCGCAGGUUUGAAUCUUAUUGUGGACCGCCAGAAAGCACCAGCUAACGGUGCUGAUUUCAAGCGCAUUGCAUGUCCAACGUGCAGACAACAGACUUAUGUCUCUAAUAUAUGCUGAAGCGGCUUCUUCGAAAAUUGCUGAAAUCCUCCAGGAAGAAGAAGAGGACGAAGAAAAAUCUAUAACCGUGGCAGGGUCGUACGGAACAAAGGUAAUCUCGCUUUGUCGUCUGCUUUUUAUUUUAAUUCUUUUGCAAGUUUGAAGAUUGAAGCUGUCGUCAGAAGAAUUCUUAGUCUGAAAGAAGACGAUCCGUUUGUGACAAUUCUUGUGUUCUCGACGUGGCAAGAAGUGCUGGACUUGUUAGAACACGCACUGAAGAGCAACAAGCUCAGCUGGGUUCGAUUAAAGCAGCGCAGGUAACAUCGAUAAUCUGUUUUACUUUUACUCAUGUGCUCGUUUUGUGUUUUUCACAGACAAAUGGGUUCUUCCAUCUUGGAAUUUAAGAAGGAGAACAUCCAAGUCAUGUUACUGCCCACACAACAUGGUGCCAAUGGCCUGAACUUAAUAGAGGCCCAACACGUUAUUUUGGUGGAGCCUUUGCUCAAUCCGGCAGUAGAAGCUCAGGCUAUCAAUCGAGUCCACCGGAUUGGCCAACGUCUAAAGACACUUGUACAUAGAUUCAUUGUAAGUUACGUACGUUUCUUCUGUUUUCCAAUUACUGACGACAUUUCCAGAUACGUAACACUGUGGAGGAGAACAUCUACAAAAUGAGCCAGCAGAAGACGAACCUCCUUCCAAUGAAACAAAAAGAGCAGCCUCUUUCAGCAAAUGACAUGAACAGCUUACUAGCUUGGGACGAACUGAAAGAGAACACAUCUACUUCAAACACCCCCAGUGGUUCUACUCCUGAUACUUUCCGAGAUUUAACUCCGGCUCAAGCUGCUGCUGCUGCUGCUGAAUCGCGGCUCUUGUGACUACAGGCCAACGCUUGCCUAUAGAUUCCUUGUAAGUACUUUCUCUUGCAUGUCCGGAUUCUGAACCUUUGUAUUUUCUAGCAGAGAAGGAACAUUCUUUAAUCGAAAGAUGAGCUUUCGGUAAGUUUUUCUUUUGGCGAGGGGUUUAGCUAGCUAGCAACAGAGAUGGGUGCCAAGUUUCAGCCCCUUCCUCGCUUCUACUGGACGAAGGAACAGAUUGCUGCGAUCAGAGACCUGUGCCGUGACGACGAUCUCUACGUGAAGACGAAGUAUGGUAGGAAACUGAGGCCGCCGCCUCGUCCGCGACUAAGUCGAGAGCAGGAACGCUUUGUUCGCGCAGACCCUCAAGCAGGCUUGGAUAGAAUCAGUGGGCAGUGGGUAGCACUCCAACACCAGCUCGGGAAGAAGCCUUACACAGCCGAGGAGCAGGAAGGCAACUACGUGGGUCCGAUUCUGGGUCACAAGCAAUACAGGUGCGAGCUCCAUCUUCACAGGGGACAGAAGCAGUGGAAUGUCCAUGCAGUCGGGGACAAGUUUCUGGUCUACGAGACACUUCCUCCCGCGACCGACACCGGUGAUGAUCCUCCGGUGCUUUGUGGUCGCGACAAGUUCGUCAUUGGUCGCCCUCUGUCAGUAACAAUGGACAACCGGGCGACAAAUGUUUCCUCGUCAUGGAACUCGUUUCCAGUGUGGAGCUUGCCAGAAGAAGGCAAAGAGGGAACGAUCGGGAACUAUAUGGUGCCGAGCAGUAAGGUGGCGCUGCCGGGUUUAGUUCCAGGCAAAGGAGCGCUAGUCUUCGAUGCCUUGUACGAGACUGUGAAGGAAGGAGGAGCGAGCUGGAGCUCCGAGAUGGUUGAGAAGCUGGACAGGCUCAAGCGUGGGAUAACGCACCCCCACCAGGUCUGCGUGGUUCUCAAGAAGAUCAAGCACGACGCAUCUCUCUCGCUCAAGCUCUUUACGUGGGCCAAUACGAUCCCAGGCUUCAAGCACGACUUGGUAAACUACUCGACGAUGAUCAUGAUCUUGGGAGAUGACGGGAACUAUCUCAUGGCCGAGGCGCUUUUUGUUGAGAUACAGGAGCUCGGGCUUCGCCUUGACACGUUUGCAGUGAACAACAUGAUCCGCUGCUACACAAGAGUGAACCGGAUCCAGGAAGCUCUCGACCUCUACAGGAAGAUGCCAUACUUUGGCUGUCACCCGGACAAUUGCACCUUCGGCCUCCUCAUCGACUGGUGCGGCAAGUUCGGCUCCCGGAAGGAGCUCCAACGGAUCUUCCUCGACUUGAGAGCCUCCCCCCACAAUGCCGACGCGCAGACGUUCAACACAAUGAUCCACAACUUCUGCAAGCAGCGGGACUUCGCAAACGCCAGGGAAGCUGCCAACCAGAUGAAAGCCUGGGGGAUUCCAUUCUCCUCUGCAACGUACGCCAUCCUCAUCCACAUGUACGCCAAGGCUCGAGACUCGAAAGCAGCGGCAGAGCUCUACGCGGACUACCUCCGCUCCGGCCUAGAGCCAAACUUGAUCGUCUACAACAACGUGAUACUGAGUUACGGUUCCAGCGGCUUCCCUGGCCAUGCGCAGAACAUCCUGGGUGAUAUACGAAAGGCCGGCCUCGCUCCAGAUCGAUUCACGUACUGCACGCUCAUAAGUUCGUGGGCGAGAGCCGGAGCUAUGCUGCAAGCCCGGCGAUGGUUCAACAAAGCCUGCAAGACGAAGGCCGGUCCAAGCAUCGAGAUGUGCAACGCGCUCAUCGAUGGCUACCUCAAGGCCCGAGAAGUGGAACCGGCUAAGUUCAUCCUCACCAAAGUCAUGCCGGAGAGAGGCAUGGAGCCGACGCUGCAAACGUACACGAUCCUCCUGGGCCACUACACGAGCAGCGUCAAGGUGGCGGACUCGAGAGCAGUGAGAGAGAUGAUGAAGUCGUCCUCGAAACCAGCAGCAGCAGCAGCAGGAGGAGGAGGAGGAGGAGGAGAUGAUCAUCCCGGCGUGGACGAGUUCCUGAACGAGAUCCUGCAAGGCCUCCGCGCGAUCAAGGAGCUCAAGAGCUACUCGAGGGAGUUUUUCCGCAAGCUGAGGAUGGACAAGCCUCCUCGCUGGGGGCGAUGGCUGGCGGAUGCUCUCGUCAACCAUCUCCACUGCUUUGGCUACGCUCGCGAGGCCUUCUACGUGUGGGAGGGUGUCUCCUCCACAGAGCUCUACCCGAGAGGGAUCUGGGAGGACUGGCAGGGAGCGUGGUUUAUCUGGCUCCAGGAUAUGAGCUCCGGGACUGCGAUGGUGGCGCUCACCAGUGGAUUGAUCGUGUCCAGGCGGAAGCUCGCGCGGGGAUUCGAUAGGCCGGAGCGAGUGAUCAUCGUGUGUGGCUAAGAGCAAGGAGGUGACCCAUGCGGUGAACAGGACGCUGGUGGCUCUAGACUCGCCGUUUGAGCCUUUCAUCUCUAUGGGGAGAUUUAUGUGCGAGGGGAACUUGUUUAGAGACUGGCUGUGGGAGAAGCAAGUUGCUAUAGAGCUCACCAUGGAUGCUUAUAUGUAAUUAGCGCAUUAGUGGGAUGGUAAAAAGGACCAAGAUUCGUUGGAUCUAGCCUUUUGCUUUGCUUUAUUUUUUCUUAAGUUCAGGUAUUUAGGAUUUUUCUUAGGCUGCAAAUUAGCACAUGGAUGUGAUAAGGCAAGAGCGAGCCAUAUGUUGUUUCAACUCAGAGGAAGCUGAUGAGCUGGUUAUGCAUGAUUUGUCUCUGUGGAGAUCUAUAACAUGGAAUACUGGGAAAGUAACCAUUAUGCCUAGGUAAAGUUUGUUUGGAACUUCUUCAUAAGUGCAAGAUUACAAAGAGAUUGCAGACAACAAGUCUCGUUGUCAAACUUUACAUAUGUAAUAUAUAUACAUUAUUUAAACAACCAUGCCCAGAGCUGUUUAUUUUAUAUAAAUACAGCAUCAUCUUCUAGGCAAGCUGGAGUAGAUCAUCCUCCUUGACGCACAGCUGGUGCCCCUGACGGUUGUAGAGCUUGCAACCUUCCUUGAGUGGCUUCCUGCAAGUGUGGCAAGAGUUGAAGUCGAGCGCAACACUUUUUGGACCUGGGCAGACAUAGGAAGCAGAGCCACAUUUGAACGUGCAAGUUUUAUCAGGUCCUGAGACGCAUAUCGAUUUGCCAUGCCCCAAGUCCAAGCAACCUUGAGGAAUGCUGCAACAAGUAGCGCAGCUGCCUGGCGUCCAAGGAUGGACAGUGCCUCCACAAAUCUCCACGGCAUCCUUCAAGCAGGAGUUGUCAUCACCAUUUGGCAGUGGUGCACCAGUCUUUAAAUUGUAGAGAUGACAGCCAUUCGAAGGCUCCUUACCCGGUGGGAGCACAGAAAUUGGAAUUUGGUUAGUCCAUCGGGAUGGGCAGACUUUGAUUUUUGGUGGAAGACAAAUUGGGUGGCAAGGACGAAAAGGGGCGGUGCCACCAAGACAAACUGGACUGCCAGUUCCAGGCUCGAGAUAUAUGCAUCCAGCCUCAAGCGUACAGCAAUUGGAGCAUGCGUCCAGAGUGACAACAGCAUCACUACAAACCUGGAGACGAUGGCCGCUGGCUGCAAAAUCAUCUUGACAAGGCAUUCAAGAAGUCAGUCCUGAAAGAAAGAAUCAAAACUUGGAGAUCAACCUGCAGAUAUCAGAAGUAGCUGAAAGCUUAGGAUAGUGAGGAACAAGAAUGAAGCUGCCAUGUUGUUGUGGUGCUGAACCUCGGGCUGUUUGAAUUUAUAGUCACACAGUGGCAUGCGAUCGAUCUCUACAAAAAUCUCACGUUUUUUCCGGACUUGAAAGUUGCGUAUGGAUUGUACUGAUCGGGGGCCACCUAGCCUGGCUCUCUGUGGUGAAACAAAUCAUAUACUUCCAGAGAGGUGUCCCAUCAGUAGUUUGAUCGGUGAGGUCCGAUGUGGCGCCCUUAUUAGGGCGACGUGGCCGGAAAUACAAAGGAUUGCAUGCCACGUCAUAAUAGACGAGGUUAGCGAAGCGGCCAUGGCGGGGCUGCUCGGCCAUGGCGGUUCUUUCAACGUGGCCAGGCUGGGAGCACUAGGGUAGCAGCUCACAGCGCUGUCACAGCAAUGUGCUAUCCGAUCGAUCGAUCUGGGUCUCGGGUUUAGUUUCUAGAGGUUUCCGGCUUCUCCACAGCUAGUGGUUUCGUCCUCCGGCCUAUGGCACCGCUAGAAAAUCCUCCAAACCUUGAAGAACAGAUCGAGAUUUAGGAGCAGCGAGAGAUUGCACGAAAGAUCUUGCGUUGGGAGCUCGACCGCAAUUCUGCCUAGCUGCUCUAUCGAAGAUUUGCAAGUCGAGCGUUCAAACAGAGUGCUCAAGAGAUUGAGCUCCGUCCAUAAAUUCAAUCCUUUCUGGGCUCCGACCAAUGUGAUGCCGCGAUUCAAAUUUCUGGCGCUUGGUGCCUCAACAUGGGUAAUACCAUACGUAUUGAAAUAUCACAUAUUGAAUGAUUUUGGAACAGCUCAUGCACAACAAGGGAACUCUUUUGAUUAUAUAUACAUAUUUGUGCAGUUGGAGGCAUUUAUACAAUAUACAAAUUGAUUUCCUUGGAUUUCUUGUCUUUGGUCUAGUAAAAUUCAACAUUGGCAAAAGAGAACUCCAAGAUUAAAAUCAGGACACCAUUUGCAUCCAUUGCAUUGUGGUUUAAUGCAUCUAGUUGUUGGGUGGUACAUGUAUACUUAUUCUUUCAAAGCUAGAAAAAAAAUUUCAUUUGCUACAUGCAAUCUAAACCCUAAACCCUAAACCUUAAAUAGACACGUGAAAAAAGGGUGGCAACCCUUCAAUUUUGAUUUUAAUGAUGCUCCAAUAAGCCAUUUAUCUCUAUGGGGAGAUUUAUGUGCGAGGGGAACUUGUUUAGAGACUGGCUGUGGGAGAAGCAAGUUGCUAUAGAGCUCACCAUGGAUGCUUAGAAUUAAUAUGUAAUUAGUGCAUUAAUGGAAGGGUAAAAAGGACAAAGAUUCGUUGGAUCUAACCUUUUGCUUUGCUUUAUUUUUUCUUCAAGUUCAGGUAUUUAGAAAUUUUCUUAGGCUGCAAAUUAGCACGCCAUAUGUUGUUUCAACUCAGAGGAAGCUGAUGAGCUGAACACCAAUGCAUUGUGAUGUAUGAUUUGGCUCUGCGGAGAUCUAUAACAUAGAAUAUUGGGAAAGUAAACAUUAUGCCUAGGUAAAGUUUGUUUGGAACUUCUUUGUAAGUGCAAGAUUACAAGACAACAAGUUGCGUUGUCAAACUUUAUAUAUAUAAUAUAUAUAUAUACAUUUCAAGUACCCGUUAUUUAAACAACGAUGCCCAGAGCUGUUUAUUUUAUAAAUACUGCAUCAUCUUCUAGGCAAGCUGGAGUAGAUCAUCCUCCUUGACGCACAGCUGGUGCCCCCGACGGUUGUAGAGCUUGCAACCUUCCCUGAGUGGCUUCUUGCAAGUGUGGCAAGAGUUGAAGUCGAGCGCAACACUUUUUGGACCUGGGCAGACAUAGGAAGCAAACCCACAUUCGAGCGUGCAGGCUUUACCAGGUCCUGAGACGCAUACUGAUUUGCCAUGCCCCAAGUCCAUGCAACCUUGAGGAAUGGUGCAACAAGUAGCGCAGCUGCCUGGCUUCCAAGGAUGGACAGUGCCUCCACAAAUCUCCACGGCAUCCUUCAAGCAGGAGUUGUCAUCACCAUUUGGCAGUGGUGCACCAGUCUUUAAAUUGUAGAGAUGACAGCCAUUCGAAGGCUCCUUAUCCGGUGGGAGCACAGAAAUUGGAAUUCGGUUAGUUCCUCGGGAUGGGCAGACUUUGAUUUUUGGUGGAUGACAAAUUAAGGGGCAAGGACGAAAAGGGGAGGUGCCACCAAGACAAACUGGACUGCCAGUUCCAGGCUCGAGAUAUAUGCAUCCAGCCUCAAGCGCACAGCAACUGGAGCAUCCGUCGAGAGUGACAACAG
rnacentral:lncRNA from 1 species